rnacentral:rRNA from 1 species
GACGAACGCUGGCGGCGUGCCUAAUACAUGCAAGUCGAGCGCAGGAAACUGACGGAACUCUUCGGAGGGAAGGCAGCGGAAUGAGCGGCGGACGGGUGAGUAACACGUAAGGAACCUGCCUCAAGGAUUGGGAUAACUCCGAGAAAUCGGAGCUAAUACCGGAUAGUUCAACGGACCGCAUGGUCCGCUGAUGAAAGGCGCUUCGGCGUCACCUUGAGAUGGCCCUGCGGUGCAUUAGCUAGUUGGUGGGGUAACGGCCCACCAAGGCGACGAUGCAUAGCCGACCUGGGAGGGUGAUCGGCCACACUGGGACUGAGACACGGCCCAGACUCCUACGGGAGGCAGCAGUAGGGAAUCUUCCACAAUGGACGAAAGUCUGAUGGAGCAACGCCGCGUGAGUGAUGAAGGUUUUCGGAUCGUAAAACUCUGUUGUAAGGGAAGAACACGUACGAGAGGAAAUGCUCGUACCUUGACGGUACCUUACGAGAAAGCCACGGCUAACUACGUGCCAGCAGCCGCCGUAAAAC